rnacentral:tRNA from 1 species
AGCAGUUUAGCUUAAUGGCAGAGCAGUUGACUGGAAUCAAAGGGAUGUGAGUUCGAUUCACAUGACUGGUU